UCCGAGAAUUCAAUCGGCGGCUGUAUGUUGACUGACAAGAAUAUAAUUGCUGUUAAUCCGGCCCUGCUUCGUGUACAAAUGCAUAGCGGGGAGACAUGAACAUUUUUCGAAAUCGCGGACCUAUCCUCUUGGGAUUCUACGUUGGACAAAUUCUGAAAACGACCCCAGAAAUAUAAUUGGAGGUUCAAAGCGGUGCGAGGUGACCUUUCAUAUAUGAAACAGACCAGUCAUGGGGACACGAGAUGUGGAAAGUUUAAGCGUAGUCGUCGCCACAUUGCUGCCAACACGGCAUAUAUAAGGAAUCACGAACCAUUCAGGAAUAUUGAGACUUAGACCAGUAUCUUUUGAAGUCGGCAUGUGGGGUAAAGAAGACGCAGAAGCUUCAGUCGGGUACCAUCGGUAACGUAGGCGAUUGAUAUAUUUCCACC